rnacentral:lncRNA from 1 species
CCCCCCUCCCCCGAGGGUGCCCCUGGGCCCUCUGCAUGGGAGCUCGUGAGAGGAAGCAGCCUUCUCCGUGGUGCAGGAUGUCUGAGCUGCGAGGGCCCUGUCCCCUGCCAGGGCUGGGGUCCCACAGUGGCCGCUGUGCUUUCAGCCCCAGGCAGGAGGAGCCCGGCGGGGAAGGCUGAGCCCAUGGUGGCAGUGGCUGAGCCUGAGGACCCUGGGAGCGGCCAGGAACACCUUGCUGGCCCGCGGUGCUACCGACACCGCUGUCCGCACGCCCAACUCCCAGCCAGCCCCUGGUGGCCGGGAGAUGGCCCCUGAAGGGCAGCAGCAGGGGGUCGCAGCCAACAACGCCGAUGGACGCCGAGAGCAGCCCCAGAGCGUCAGGUGGUGCGGCCGCUGCGGACCUUCCUGCACACCGUGCAGCGGAACCAGAUGCUCAUGGCGCCCGGCUCCGCCCCCCGCCGCGCCGGCAUGACAUCCUUCAUCAAGCGCAACACCCCGCUGCGCGUGGACCCCAAGUGCAGCUUCGUUGUGAGUAGAGCCCUCCCUCCCUGCACUUGCUGUGGCCCUAGGAGCACUAGCGUCUCGGCCAGGAGCUUGUGGGGUGUGGGCACCACUGAGGCACCCAAGGGUGUGACUGGCUGCCCACCAGGCCACGGGCCCCGGGUUCUCUCCCAGCUCAGCAGCUGUCCCUAGUCUCGGCUCCUGGGGCUCGUGAGUCUCAGCAGGGCCAGGCAGACAGGCGUGGGGGCUAAGUGGGCAGUGCCACCGGUUCCCUGUGCCUUCCUCACGUGUGUGCAUGCGGUCACCUGACAGAUGGCACCAGUCUGGCUGCCCCAGUAACACACAGCGUGGGCACUUUGGGAACUAAAGUGGAAACUCUGUUCAUCCACUGUCUACUGUCUGUCGCCUCUGGUGCCCUCCCUCCGCCACCAAAGGACUUCUGCUCCAGGUGGAGGGUUCUCUAGUUUCCUUCACCUGAGAGUGCUGCCUCCUCCUUUCUUCUGGAGGAAAACUGCCAGGUGAAGUUUCUCUUUCGGCACAGUGCAGUUUCCUGCUGGGGAGACGUCUUCAUCCAUUCUGAGUGUCGUCCCCUGUACAGAAGGCAGCCUUCAUUCUGGCUGCUGCUGGCGUUUCCCCCCUUUGUGUUGCGUUUUCAGUGUCGAUUUCUUGGGACUCCCCUCCGGUUGUGUCUGUCCCUGAAUUUGGCAUUCUCAGCCAUCUUGUCCUCGACUAUCUAAGCAUCUUCUUCCUCUCCUUUCGAGGCGCCAGUGGAAGAGCAGAGACCUUUUGGUGUUGUCGCCCUGAUCCCAGAGGCGCUGAUAACUUGAUGUCUUGAUAGCAGCCAUUCUUUGUGGGAUGAGGUGGAAUCUCAAUGUUUUCAUCUGCAUCUCUUGAAUGACCAGUGAUGCUGAACAUUUUUUCAUAUGUUUAUUUGCUGCUUUUACUUCUUUGUCUGAGAAUUGUCUGUUCAUUUCAGAUGCCCAUUUUUGAAUUGGGUCUUUGAAUUUGGGGGAUCUGAUUUUUUUGAGUUCUUCAUAUAUUCUAGAUAGUAGACCUUUGUCUGAGGUACAGCUGCUAAAGAUUUUUUCCCAGAUUGUAGGUUGUCUCUUAGCUCUGUUGGUGGUUUCUCUUGCAGUGCAGAAGCUUUUUAAUAAGAUGAGAUCCCAGCUGUUGAUUCUUCCUUAGCAGUUUCUUCUCCGUGCUGAGCUCACUCAUUGAUCUUCGUGGUGACUACGUUCAUGGUCUUUUCCAUUGUGCUCCUGUGCCUAUCCGUUGAGUCGUAACAUUUGUUUUUUCUAAGGUUCCUGUCUGGUUCUCUAUGUCUGUUCCUUUGCUGAGAGUUCCCCGUGUUUCCAAGUGUCUCUGGCAUAUACGUGAGGACUCAUUGGAGCUUUUCCAUAAUAGCUGCUCUGAAGUCCCAGAUAAUUCUAGCAACAGCCGCCCUCACUCUGUUGAUUGUCUUCCCUUGCAAGUUGGGGUUUUCGGUUCUUUGGAGACUCAGUGAUUGGGGACUCCUGCAUGAUGCCGCUACAGCAGCUGUGCUGAGACUGGCCUGGCGUUGUCUAGCUGAGGGUCGGUGUGCUCCCCAUCCACUUGGCGAGGCUGCAGGUUCCCCUGCUGUCUGUGGCCCCAGGGUCGGUCCCUUGGCAGGGCAUGAGGCUCUGUCCCUGUGGGUGCCACCAGCGGCCAGGUGGGCCUGAAGGCGGCCUGUGGAACUCGUGCGGAACCCUGGCAGGCUCUUGUGACCACCCCAGGGCUUUCCGUUCCCUGGGGCUCCUCUUUCUCUGGCCUCCCACUGGGGAGAUGGGGGUGUUAGUUACCUGGCUCUGUCCUGUGCUUUGCUGCGCAUGUCCAAGCUCCUGACCAGAGGAAAGGAGCAGGAGAGGAGAGCAGAGAGGAGCAGCAUGCAGCUGUUCUGGAGGAUUGUCGAGCGCGCCCGUCUCCUUGGCUGGGGAGGGCUUGGGGCCUGGCCGCCUGUCGCUGCUGCUGCCGCUUGGGCCGUGCUCUGCAGAGGGCCGGGCAGCUCCACUGUGCCACACACACGUUGCCUUGCGUUUAUUGUGGCCGUGUCACAGGCAGUGUGGAAAACAAGGAAAGACCACAGUCCUUCAUCUGUCUCCCAGCCUGUAUACCCUUCUUCAGCAUCCGGGUGUUUUCUUUCUUUCAACUGUUGCGAAACAGCUGAGGCACAUGGAGGAGCAGGCGACACGGGCAGGCAGCAUGCGGGUGGUGAAGCACAAUUGUGUGGGCAGCACAGCUGCAGCCCCGCCCCUCAGCCCCACUGCACUGCUCACUGCUCUUGGCGCACUGCUGAUGCGGCCACACUGUCUUAGCUGGUUUGGGCCUGCUUUGGUUGGCAGCUUGAGCCUCUGGCCCUGGGCUGUGCAUCCUGCCGGGAGCCAACCCUCGGGUUUGGGUGCGUCCCUGCCCUGAGCGUGGAGCUCGAGUACCUGCCACUGGCCUGGAGGUCAGGGUUUGUCCCCCGCCCCCCAUCCCAGGAGAAGGAGAGGCAGCGCCUGGAGAGCCUGCGGCGGAAGGAGGAGGCUGAGCAGCUGCGCAGACAGAAGGUGGAGGAGGAGGAGGCGGAGGCGGCGCGAGGAGGAGAAGCUGUGGGUGCCCUGCCCCAGCCCCUACCCCGCCUGGCGGGCGCCCACA